rnacentral:lncRNA from 1 species
CUCUUUUCUCCUGAGUCACAUUCGCACUAAAAAAUGUCUCAGAUUUAUCAAAAUUAACCACCUGCCCCAAGCUAUUUGCAUAAUUUUUUAACACCCUUUUCAAUGCAUUCCCCCUUUUAAUGACGCCUCACCAAAAAUCAUGCUACCAUCCGCAAAAUGUAAAUGAGUGACAAUCGGAGAAUACCUAUUAAUACAUACUACCUGUAGCCGUCCAUGCAGCACUGCCAUUCGUAACAAUGCUGAAAGCCCC